CGUAGGUGGCAAGCGUUGUCCGGAUUUACUGGGCGUAAAGCGCGUGUAGGUGGUUUGGAAAGUCCGGGGUGAAAUCUUGCGGCUCAACUGCAAGAGGUCCUUGGAUACUUCCAGACUUGAGGGAGGCAGAGGAAGGUGGAAUUCCCGGUGUAGUGGUGAAACGCGUAGAUAUCGGGAGGAACACCAGUGGCGAAGGCGGCCUUCUGGGCCUUUCCUGACGCUGAGGCGCGAAAGCGUGGGUAGCAAACCGGAUUAGAUACCCGGGUAGUCCACGCCCUAAACGAUGAGCACUAGGUGUGGGGGGUAUCGACCCCCUCCGUGCCGAAGCUAACGCGAUAAGUGCUCCGCCUGGGGACUACGGCCGCAAGGCUA
rnacentral:rRNA from 1 species